rnacentral:misc_RNA from 1 species
CGCUUUCAAUAAAGUUCUCUUCAGUGUAAAGCUCAAACUCGAGAUUUCUGAUUAAGCAUGAAGCAAUCUCACCACUACACCACAGCUUAGGUUGGUAAUUUGCCUUUUUUUUAAUUAAUACAAAGGUAAUCCCACUACCAUACGAACUGGUUUAGGAGGCUGAGGCUGCGGCGGCUUCUGCUCUUCAACCACCACUUUUUCCGGUAUGGGCGGCUGACAUGGACAAGGCAUUGCUAUGAAUUUUGGAACUACAUCACCUGGCAUCAACACUGCAGGCAUACUUUGGCAUUGGCUCUGCUUUUCACCCAUUUUGUUGUGUUUGGAUUUCAAAGAUGAAGGAUCAUCAUCUCCAGCUUCGAUAUCGGCUAGAGAUCGACGUCGCAGGGCUCGUAUUUUGUCCCAAUGAUAGCAGCAAGAAAAAACACCACUCAAGCUGAAAAUGACAAGCAAGAGAAGCGCAGUCCCCAGAGGAAAUCCCAGAGA